UACGUAGGGGGCGAGCGUUGUCCGGAUUUAUUGGGCGUAAAGAGCUCGUAGGCGGUUCGGUAAGUCGAAUGUGAAAUCUCCACGCUCAACGUGGAGGGGUCAUUCGAAACUGCCGUGACUUGAGUACGGUAGGGGAGUGUGGAAUUCCCGGUGUAGCGGUGAAAUGCGCAGAUAUCAGGAGGAACACCGGUGGCGAAGGCGGGUCUCUGGGCCGUAACUGACGCUGAGGAGCGAAAGCAUGGGGAGCGAACAGG
rnacentral:rRNA from 1 species